CAGUCGCCGCGGGAAUACGAAGGGUGCAAGCGUUAAUCGGAAUUACUGGGCAUAAAGCGUGCGUAGGCGGUUUGUUAAGUCUGUUGUGAAAUCCCCGGGCUCAACCUGGGAAUGGCAAUGGAUACUGGCAAGCUAGAGUGUGUCAGAGGAUGGUGGAAUUCCCGGUGUAGCGGUGAAAUGCGUAGAGAUCGGGAGGAACAUCAGUGGCGAAGGCGGCCAUCUGGGACAACACUGACGCUGAGGCACGAAAGCGUGGGGAGCAAACAGGAUUAGAUACCCCAGUAGUCCCUGUCUCUUAUAC
rnacentral:rRNA from 1 species